CUACAAGAAAAUAACUCAGUGAUUUCAGACUUUAUAAUUUUGUGUUGUUGAUAAUCUGAUUUUUAACAGACAGACGUUGUGAACCAGAGGAUGGUGUUAUUUACUCUGAAGUGAAACCAGGAGCUGCAGAACCCACUCCAUUGUAUGCUGAAAUCAACCACAAGAAUAAAGCUAAGAAAAAGAAAUACAAGAAGAGCCCUGCAGCAACAGAAGAAACUGUUUAUUCUGAGAUACAAUCAUGAACAGCUCUGGAUAAUGGCUCUGCCCUGUAGGCUGCCUGC